rnacentral:rRNA from 1 species
CACGUAGGGCGCAAGCGUUGUCCGGAAUUAUUGGGCGUAAAGAGCUCGUAGGCGGUCUGUUGCGUCCGCUGUGAAAACCCGGGGCUUAACCCCUGGCUCGCAGUGGAUACGGACAGACUAGAGGUAGGUAGGGGAGAAUGGAAUUCCCGGUGUAGCGGUGAAAUGCGCAGAUAUCGGGAGGAACACCGGUGGCGAAGGCGGUUCUCUGGGCCUUACCUGACGCUGAGGAGCGAAAGCGUGGGGAGCGAACAGG